UGUCAAAAAUGCGUUGCACCUGUCUGUCAGUCAAUAGGUAGGGAACUGAAGGCCUAAAACAACCACCUGAAAAAGGGCCGAGCAUGAACCUGAGGGCCGAGGGAGGCUCCCAUUUUCACGUUUCUCAGGUUUUAACUUUCAACUUUCAACAGGCCGGUUAUUGUUUUUCCCUUCGAAGUAUCAUCAAAAUAUCUCCCUGUACACUGUCUAAGUCCAUAGGAAUUUAAAUACCUACAAAACCACCAAGUCAUGUCCGAAAACCACCAAACCAAGCAACCUUGAUUCCCACUUUAAAAAUAAAUUAAAAUAUUCCCCGAAACUAACCACCACCUGUCGGCCUUAUCCAUUCCUGCAGUUAAACUGCCCACUUCCGAGGACUUUUGAGUUUUGAUCAGAGAGUUGGAAAUGGCAGAUAUUGCUAUGCUCGUUGCUGAGGAGUAUGAAAGGAGGGUCAGGAAUUCAAGAAGUAAAGUUGGGGCUGAAAAACAGGAGAUCGACCUGGUUUCUUGUGUGGCAGUCUUGGCUCAGAGGAUGAAGAGCAAAGUUGGAGAGGGAAGAAUCGAGGUUGUCAAGUUGGCUUUAGAACCAAAAAGCCAGAUUGCUGUUGCAGCUUUCAAUGGAGCCUUCUCUGCUUGAAAAUUUUUUUCCUCCUCUUUCUGUCCGAUUUAGUUUCCAAAAUCAUUGCUCCCAAAGAGUUGUCGAUAAAUACCCAUUUCGCUUUGUCAUUUUCGUUUGUAAAUUCUCAUCUUUGUUAAGAAGCAAAAUUUCUGCUUUUAUGAUGAAAUGUGAUCCUAGCUUCUAACUGGGAUCCCAAUAUCUCUGGAUGUUUUACAUGACUUAUCUACACCAAAAUCUGUAACAAAUUACUAUUCAAAUGUUCAUAGAUGAAAUGAUGCGAAUUAAUGGGCAGUUUA